rfam:Gossypium raimondii Chr12_contig_613, whole genome shotgun sequence.
UGUUAAAAAUUUCAUCUAUUUUUAUUGUUAAAAACUUACGUAAUUGACGAAAGAACUAGACAGUUACACAUGGCGUGUCAUGUGUACCUCAAGUUAACGUACAAAGAUUUGUUUUUUAUAAUAAAAAUGAAUGAAUUUUUAACA